GCUCUCAUUCGCCAUCAUUCUU
rnacentral:miRNA from 15 species